AGCCUCUGACACACUUUUUCUUACUUUCUGUGUCGCUCUCUGCUCAUUCUGACACCAGUGCACUUGCUUCCUUCAUUCCUGAUUCUCCCUAAACUUUUGGCACCUUAGGGCCCAGGGGGUGUUUUUCUCCUUGUGUUUCCUUUAUUUUUCAGCAGCUGCCGAGCACAAAUAACCCCUCCGAGCCUCCUGGAGAGAGACCGACGAUUGCAUGGAGGCGACGUAGGGAGUUUCAGCCUGCAGCAGCCGCAGCGAGACAGCCUGGUCACUCAUGAGCACCCAAGGAGGAGAGCCAGAGAUGGAUGACUGCCUGGAGACACUGAAAGAUGAGGAGGAAGCUUUGUGGGAGAACGUAGAAUGCAACCGGCACAUGCUGAGCCGCUACAUCAAUCCAGCCAAGCUGACCCCGUACUUACGGCAGUGCAAAGUAAUCGAUGAGCAAGAUGAGGAUGAGGUGCUUAACUCACUUAUGCUGCCCUCCAAAAUUAACCGAGCAGGCCGACUGCUGGACAUCCUCCACACCAAGGGCCAAAGGGGCUAUGUAGUUUUCUUAGAGAGCCUAGAGUUUUACUACCCUGAGCUCUACAAACUGGUGACAGGGAAAGAACCUACGCGGAGAUUUUCCACUAUUGUUGUGGAGGAGGGACACGAAGGCCUUACCCAUUUCCUAAUGAAUGAGAUCAUUAAGCUUCAGCAGCAAGUAAAGACAAAAGAUGUGCAGCGCUGUGAACUCUUGGCUAAGUCUCGCCAGUUGGAGGAUGAGCGAAAGCAGCUAAAAUUGAACAAGAUAGAGCUGCUGACCUUCCAGGAGAGAUACAACAAGAUGAAGGAGGAGAGGAACAACUACAAUGAUGAGCUGGUCAAGGUGAAAGAUGAGAACUACAAUCUGGCCAUGAGAUAUGCCCAGCUGAGUGACGAGAAGAGCAUGGCUGUGAUAAGGAGCCGAGACCUCCAGUUAGAGAUUGACCAGCUGAAGCAUCGCUUGAACAAGGUGGAGGAGGAAUGCAAGCUGGAGAGGAACCAGUCUCUGAAGCUGAAAAAUGAUAUCGAAAACCGACCCAAAAAAGAACAGGUUCUGGAGCUGGAGCGGGAAAAUGAGAUGAUGAAGACUAAAAUCCAAGAGUUACAGUCCAUCAUUCAGGCUGACAAGCGGAGUUUGCCAGAUUCGGACAAAGCCAUUUUGGAUAUCCUGGAACAUGACCGUAAGGAGGCACUAGAAGAUCGUCAUGAAUUGGUCAACAAGAUCUUUAAUCUCCAAGAGGAGAUUCGUCAUGUGGAGGACUUGAGAGACAAGUAUCUCGAAGAGAAAGAAGAUUUGGAGUUAAAGUGUUCAACACUAGGAAAAGACUGUGAGAUGUACAAGCACCGUAUGAACACUGUGAUGAUACAGCUAGAAGAGGUGGAAAAGGAGCGAGACCAGGCAUUCCGCUCACGUGAUGAGGCUCAGACACAGUAUUCACAUUGUCUGAUUGAAAAGGAUAAAUACAGGAAGCAGAUUCGAGAGCUGGAGGAGAGAAACGACGAACUCCGAAUUGAGGUGGUUCGGAAAGAAGCUUGCAUUGUCAACCUAGAGUGCAAGCUCCGACGGCUCUCUAAGGACAAUAACUUUCACGACCAGAGUUUACCACGGAAUCUACCCAUUACCAUUAUCUCCCAGACCUUUGGGACUCCUGGCCCAAAAGCCAAUGGUCAGGAAGCAGAUGACUCCUCCACUUCUGAAGAGUCCCCAGAAGAUAACAAAUUCUUCUUGCCUGAUCAAGCCCGACUCAAGAGAAGAGUGAAUCUAAAGGGAAUCCAGAUAAAUCCGAGAGCUAAAUCCCCUGUCAGCAUGAACAAACCAUCAGAGUUUCAAGCAGUCAGAGCACAGGAGGAAGACGGGGCUGAUGCCAGCAAUGGCCGCACAGACACGAGUUCCUCUAAUUCUGUUUCCGUCAGUAACUCCAUCAGCAGCUGUGAAGUCAGCAAAAUUCAAACCCUGAGAAAUCGCAACGACAGUAUCAUGUCUACCACUCCCGAGCCUCCAGGGAACGAUUCAAUAGUCCGACGUUGCAAAGAGGACGCCCCUCAUUGCAGCCUGGUUGAAGAGGACAAUGACAGCUUUGGAUAUGAUGCUCUGGAGCUAGAUGAUGACAGUCAUGAGAGGCAAUCACACGGAGCUCCUUCGGUGCACUCUUCCUCUUCUUCUCAUCAGUCGGAAGGCCUGGAUGCCUAUGAGCUUGAGCACGUCAGCUCCAUAUUUAGAAAGUUCUCUCUGGAAAGACCUUUUCGUCCCUCUGUCACGUCCGUUGAUCGCAUUAGAAACUCCUGCCAUACUGUCCAGCGCGUAACACUGAAUGGAGAGAGUCUCAAGUCAGAAAUCACCCUGGUUGGGGGCAAUGACAAAGGGAGCUUUAUUAGCUCUGUCAAGGCAGGAUCACUGGCAGAGAAAGCAGGCCUUCGGGAGGGACACCAAGUCCUAAUGUUGGAGGCCUGCAUCAAAGAGGAAAAUCAGAGUGUUCCCUUGGAUACUUGCACAAAGGAAGAAGUUCACUGGACAAUUCAGAGGUGCAGUGGUCCAGUAACACUCCAGUAUAAAUCAAAUCACGAAGGUUACCGGAGGCUGCUGGCGGAACUGGAAGAAGGGCUGAUCACAUCGGGGGACUCAUUUUAUAUCCGCUUCAAUCUGAACAUCUCCAGCCAGCUGGACGGCUGUACCCUGUCAGUGAAAUGUGACGAGAUUGUCCAUAUUCUUGACACCAUGUACCAGGGGAUGUGCGAGUGGCUGUGUGCCAGGGUCGACCCUUUCACAAACAAGGACCUGGAAACGGGGACCAUUCCCAGCUACAGCAGAGCCCAGCAACUUCUCCUGGUGAAGCUGCAGCGGCUGAUGCAGAGAGGCAGCAGAGAUGAGUCAGAAAGCUCAUAUAACACCCUUCGGGGACUCCGGAACACAUUGCAGCCAGAGGAGCACGCCCCACAGAAUGACCCGAAAACCAGCCCUCGCCUAUCCAGAGCAAGCUUUCUCUUGGGCCAAAUAUUACAGUUUGUCAGUAGGUCUGAAAACAAAUAUAAGCGUAUGAAUAGCAAUGAGCGCGUCCGUAUCGUCACUGGUUGGCCCUCUGGUCUGGCACGGACCUCAUCUGAAGCAAAGAAGCUGUCGCCUGAUAAACUGGAAGAUUUGGAUUCCGAAAAUGAAAUCAAUAAGAGGUUCAGUCUGAUCCCGUAUAGCUUGGUGAGACCGAUCCACUGCGAGCGCAGGCGCCCCGUGCUUUUCACUCCCACCAUGCUUGCCAAGGCCUUGGUACAGAAGCUUCUCAACUCUGGAGGUGCCCUGGAAUUCAACAUAUGCAAGCCAGAUAUUGUAACAAAGGAAGAGUUCUUAAGGAAGCAGAGAACGGAGACAAUCAUCUUCAGCAGAGAAAAGAAUCCGAACACGUAUGAAUGCAUUGUACCUGCCAAUAUUGAGGCCGUCACUGCCAAGAACAAGCAUUGUCUCCUGGAAGCUGGAAUAAGCUGCACAAAGGAUUUAAUCAAAGCCAAGAUAUAUCCUAUUGUUCUCUUUAUCAGAGUCUCGGAGAAAAACAUCAAGAGGUUCAGGAAACUAUUGCCAAAGCCGGAGACUGAAGAUGAGUUUUUACGUAUGUGCCGUCUGAAGCAGAAAGAACUGGAAGCACUGCCAUGUCUUUAUGCCUCAGUGGAGGCAGACGCAUGGAGCAGUAUCGAAGAUCUUAUUCGAACAAUAAAAGACCGGAUCGGAGAAGAGCAGCGUAAAACCAUCUGGAUAGAUGAAGAUCAGCUAUAAAAAAGAAUAAGUAAAAUGGAGCUCUUUGGUGACAAAAGGACAUACCCAGGUGGAGCAGGGGCUCGCAGAAUUCUCUGACUAGGUGCCCGGUGCUCACCCCUGUUUCACCCUGGCUGGCUGGGGACUUCCUGCUGGCAAAAUGCAUAUAUGGAAUGGAACCGGAGCCGUGUUGAACGGCCAAUGUCUUGGAUGCUGGGGAUCGAGGAUGUGGGUCAGACCUCAGCCACCACCGCAACUUCUGACCCACCGGCAUCUCUGAAGGGACAGCAGCUGUUCAACAUGUGAGAAGGACAAAGAUCUUGAGAGGGAGCUCGGGGUAAUUUAUUAUGUUGAAAAUAUGGAUCUCAUUUGGUUCAUUGAAAACUUCUCCUGAGACCAGAUAAGUGGAAUCUAAGAGAAAUAAAGCAUGGGGAUUGGGCUAAAGGAUAUGGAAUUGAGAUGUGCCCCCCCUACACCCUGAGGUGGCAUUCUGAACACACCCAGUUGAGGAAGCUGAAGGCUGGUUGAUAGCAACAGCAACACUACUGGUGAUGGCCGUAGCAGCUCUCUAACCCUGUUUUUCCAUAACCAUUUUAAUCAGAAGAGAAGAAAAUAGCUUUUAUUCCUGGCAUUAAUUAAAAUGACUCUUUUCCCUUCUUUUUUAAACCUCAGUUUUAUUUAACAGUUUUGCAGGUUUCCUUUGUAGUCCUGGUACUCACGGCAAAAUAGACUCCACUGUCCCAGUGGCACAUCAGAUCUUUCCCGAUCUGCCAGUGUUUCAUUUAAUUUAUCCCUGCCUCUGCAUUGUAUUCAUUUGUACAUCUCUCAAUUUUUAACAUUUUUUACUCCUGGAAAUUAUCAUGGUGCCUUUUCCAGACAACAGAUUUCUGUUUCUCUGCUGAAAUCUGUAUUUCUCUACAACAUCAUCGCCUGCCAACAUGCCUGCUCUCAACAGGAGGGACUGUUCUGAGAAGAAGAAAAGAAGAAUUUCAUAAGCCAGUAAUCGCUGCAAGCCACUCAGUCCUUGACCUCUCUGCCAUGAUUGGCAGCAAGGAGACCAGCAGGCAUCACGCUGUGCUGUGGCCAAGUAGGGUAAUAUUUUCACAAGUGUGUACAAGACUUAGAAGACCACAUCCCGUUUUCAAAAGCACUUAACUCCUCGGAGAGUUUAAGUUCCACUGGUAAUGAGCGCGACUUAGACUCCUAAAUCUCUUCAGCCUUUUGAAUUUUUUCCACUAUACGUUGGACACGGUAUUGAGACUGCCAAAUGGAUUCAAUAAAAUGACCAGACAAUUAUGACUUGCACAACUGCUGAUCUGAAAUGCAAUAAAAAUUGACCUACAGAUGACGAGUUGUACAUCUCAUUAUCCUUAGAUCCUUCAUUCCUCGCCAUAUCCCUGCCUUUUAAGAUGCAUUUAAUAACAAAUUUACCUUUGCUUCUGUGUUCAUCCCAUCUUGGUGCAGCAGCUGGCAAUAAAAAGACAACCAGAGUCCAAGCAAAACAUCUGGCCUGGUUGCCCUCCCUGGAUUAAAUGCUAGGUUGUCUUUGCAACGAGCUGCUGACGCUGUGGGUAUCUCUCAAGUAGGUUGGGUCACUUCAUGUUGGCUUGUGUGAUUGUGCUUUUCUGCUCUUCUCUUUUAUGCACAUCAUUUUUUAACUAAUUGUAUCUUCUAGAAGUCAUUUAUGUCACUUGCCAUCUAACUUUCUGCUGCUGUGUUUCUCAAAUUAUUAAUGUUUGAAAGACUGUUCAUAGCCAGCGUUUCUCAGAGAAUAGCUCCUUACCUGCCCAAUGCCAUCUGUUUGGACUCUGCAAGCAGGGGGAUGCUACUAUUUUGCCGUCUCUUUAUGAAGUACAGGCUGCAUACACAAUCCACAACUCCCUCCAGGGCAAAGAAUAACAACCAACUGGAGUAUAUAUAGAACAAAUUGGAUGAUUCUUCAGAGACCCUCUGUAGCUCAACCAGAAAUAAGAAAGUAUCAGUUGGAAAAGCUGAGCCUUUCAGGAGCAUUUUGCAUUCAUUCCUAAUGUCCCGAUAAUGCAGCCUUGUGUGACAGCUGCCUGCGGUUCGUUACUGCCCCUCUUGUGGUGGCUUUGAGUCCUCAGCUGAGCAAUGGGAGGGACCGUAAGAACAUUUCUCAGCUGCUUCAGCAAAAAGUUCAGCCAGUCGGACCCCUUCAGGAGCAACCAGCUGGCUGCUGCACAGAACCCACGGGAUGUCCACGUCCCACUGGCUGUGCCGCGGGGACCGGUAACAGCUGGUGGAAUGGCUAGAACAGACGGCUGGUGGGGCAGAGGGGGUGAAGUACCUCAAACUGUCAUGGUUGUUUCUGCAGUGAUCUUCUCUCACCACAGCUUUAUUUCUGAGCCCUCUGUACAGAGACAACAGUUGUGGAUGUGAUUUAUCUCACUUAACUUCAGACAUAGGAAAGGUAUAUGCCAAAGUCUAAAGGAGGUUCCUUUUACAAUGGAUGGAGAUACACCUCCACAGAGCUAUUUGUCUAACUUACUGUAGAUGGCUAUCUAAGGAUGAGAUUAAUUGCCCUCCAAACUGUCUGGGGUUUUUUUCAUGGACUAUAGAAAGAAACUAGAGAAUUAGCCUGGCCUCUAGCAUUUAGCCUUUUGCUCUGUAAUUUAGGACAGCCAAACCACCUUAUGGGAAAAGUGGAACAAGGGAUUGAGGCAGAGAACAAGCAGAGAUCUAAUUAUUUCUGUGAAACGAGAGAGGAGUGAAUGUAUGGAGCAGACUUUUCUUCUUGGUAUCCGAGUGCAUCUCCUGUGAAUUCCCAGCUGUGCCGACAGUAGAAGGCAUCGUGGUUGUCUGCUCACGUGAUGCAAAGCAACCAGACUCUGCCCAGCGAAGUUCCCUGGCCGAGCUGCGUGCUGCAGCCUGCAGAACCCUCACCUCUGCGACUCGGUGGAGAAGGACUGAGAACCAUAUGCCCCCGUGACUUCUGGAUGUGAACUCAAAGAGCGAAUCUAUAGCUGGAGCACGUUCCCAGAACUGCAACAGAGCAAAAGGCGCCGCUAUCACUUACCCUGGCUGAGAAGGGGCUUCUGAUCUAGACCCAAAUGCUGUCCAUCUAAACUGGAAGAAAAUAACCUCUGCAUCUUUUCAAAGACGUUCAAAUCUACAGGCUUGAAAAGAGGCCACGAAUUUCCCUAAAUGUCAGAGUGUUGGAAUCAGUGUGGGUUCCAAGUCCUGAACUGGCAGAUUUGAAGCGCAGCCUUGGAACUUGGGCUGUAGAUUGUGGCAGUGUUUGCCAUUCUGCUGAGUCUCCCUUGCUUUAUUGCUUUGAGUGACCGGCCGCCUCCCUCCUCACACACGCGCGUCACGUGUACCAGCCUGGGCUCCUCGUCACGUAUACAAAUGCCCACCUAGGCACAGCUCCAGGAGUCAGGGCGCGGGUGAGAAACUGGAAGCAAUGAUUUAGAAAACAAAAUGGAAAUUGGAAAUGUUGUAAACGCUUGUUGCAAACAGUCUCACAACUGAAUCCGAAGCAGGCCCUCAGCUCGAUCUCAUCAAAGGUAGAGAUGGGAGUUUCAUGGUGGAAUAUUCUUUGGGUGGGUUUGUGUUGUUAGGCAGCACUUGGUGUAAGAUUAGUGAUUAAUAACUGGACUCGCAGGUACCACUGAAAUUCAGAUAAGUUCUCUAACUCAUGGUCCCCAAAGCAGGACACUAACUCUAGUCUAUAAAGAUGACAAACUCAAGCUGGAGACCCGAGUUUGAACUGGCUGCCGCGCUUGGACGCCAGAGGUCUGACCAAGCUGCGUGGCAGAGACGUGUCUGGAUCUACGCCUUGCCUUUUUUAUACGCGUUGUUGUUGGAGAGACUCUGACAGGAGACGGGGCACGGGAAACGUCUGCUUUCAUAUGACAACUCGGAGCAACAGCAUUUGGCUCCUGGAUCGCAGCUUUUGGCGGAGCUGUCGAGUCACCCGUUGUGUGCAGUCCCUUGUGGCUGCCGGCUCCCCCGCGCAGCAUCCUCCGUCACUGUUUCCCAGGAGAACAUCGCUCACUGUGUCUCCCUCCACUUUUCAUUCUGCCAUGGGGAGUGUGCAGAGAGAAGGUCAUUGAACAAGCCAUAUAAAACCUCGGAGAAUGCAAUAAGCAGAAUAUGGCUCUUUUAACAUGACAAAACUACCAGCUCAGUAAGGGCUUCAAGCGCAUAUGUACUGCAGCACCUCCUCAGGCAAAGAGAGUCACAGUCUCAACAACGGAGAAGAAGCAAAAGGAGUUUAGAUCAUAAAUCUUCCUCAGAUCUACCAGCUUUGCUAUCUGAAUGCACAACAAGCAAUUCAAGGGCCCCAACAUCUUUAAAUAAGUCAGACGAAGCCAGGAGUGCUUCUGCCCUGUGGUAACAACAGUUCGAUAUUUUGACUCAGUUUGCUCAUCUAGCACAGUGGUCAGGAAGGAGAAGGUGGAUGAUUUAUCAACUCAGGUGAUUCCAUUAGUGCAUACUUCUUUCUUGCUGUUGUCUUGAGAUUGCCAGGUUCUCGCCUAAACUCUGAAGUUUACAUUACAUUAGCACUAGCUCUGAUAUUGCUGCGUGGCGGUGGGCAUAUCCCCCUUGUUGUUUAUUUGCUUCCCAGUUUCACUGAAAAAAACGUUCUUCCUGGCAGUGACAGUGUCUGGCAGCGCUCAGGAAAACAACAGCAGUGUCCCAGGUACGGGCAAACUUCUAGGGUCCAUUAGCAGCGUUCUCAGCUGAAGUGUGGUGGCACCUCCUUCGCGCUCUGCCUCCUCCACCGAUGGUGAUAAUACUCUUUCGGAGGAGAGAACACCGGCUUUAAGCUACGGGGUCAUAGUGGACUGGAUGAAGAAUGGGCCGUCAUCCAGGUGGGGACUUGUGAAGACUUUGGGAUUAGUCAACGACGAGCUUCAAGACACUGAAAUGAUAGCUCUGCAUCCUUCCAAGGGCUAAAUCCGUAUAUCCUCUCCAUGCCUGACUCAGGUAGAAACAAGGGGGGCUUGCAAUAGAUAGAAAGAACCAAGGUCAGGCAUCUCAGCCCUCCCCAUUUCACAGACUUUGUGCCAGCAUUCAUCAGUGAGGCCGUGUCCUCCUCUGGCCUUUCUGUGAGCAGAAAAUUUAGACUUACUGAGCGGAGCUCUCUAUCAGUGCUUUUUCCACAACUACUUCUUCAUUUAACGGAGCUGCCCAGAUGUCACUCCCAUCUGCAAUAAGGUCUUCGUGUACAAGCAGUCCACUAGCUUCUCCAACUGCCAUACAGCUUUUCAGCUUUAAUGUUCUGCUGUCUUUUCUUACGGCCAGGGCCUUAGAAGUUCAUGCUCCAGCCUUUCCCCCAUGAGCUCCCUGUCUUUCUGCUCAUAGUUCAGCUGCUUUGCAGCCAACAGGGGAAAUGAAAAUAAUGUGGCCCUUGUUGUCUCUCUCUUUCUACCCUCCAGUCCUCUAUUUUCUUCCAUCUUUCAGGCUCCUUCUCCCUCUCUCUAUAUCUGUGGGAGAUGAAGGAAGGAGAAAUAGAAGCAGCUGUACAAGCAUUUCUUCAUCUCAGCAGAAAGAGAACAGGAGUUAUGGGAAGAAGCAGAGAUGGGGAAAAGGAAAACAGUAGAAAUAAAAAAAUGGUAAAGCUGGAAAACUGAGAAGGUAAAAGAAGGAAUAGAAAAAUGAAAUCAUUAACAUUAUUUUCUUUUAUAUCAAUAUAAGUUGUUUUAAUUUCAGUCUAAGCCCAAAGAAGGGAGAUGAACUGGAAAUCUUGAAGCAUGGAACUGGGCCGAUAAUAAGGAAACAGAGAAAGGGAAGGCAUUCAGACUGAGUAUGAGCAUCUCUUUUAAAGCUUUUACUGGGGUGCCUACACCUAUUCCUUAUGCUCAUAACGAAACAUCUGCAGAAACAUCAAUAGGGAUCAUCACGUGCAUUUGUGAGGUUCUGCCCAGUCCCUCAGCAGAGCAACAGAAGGCGUACUGCUGCAGAUCUGCCGUAGUAAACAAAAUUCUGUUUUGUUCUGUUUUUAGAACAGCUUCUGAAUGAUUAGAUGAGGAACAACAGUGCUGCGGGGGAGAGGGGAGGGGUGGACCUUUUCCUUUUGACAAUUAGAUGUGAGCUGUUGAAAGCUGCUUUCAUGGAUGAAUGCAUAGAGAACUAAGGAUGUCUGGCGACUGAUUUGUUUGAUUAGUUUAUUGUAUACCAUAAUUUCAUUCUCCCUUACAGACGACGCAGGCCUAUCACGGGAGCUGGGCUUCAUAGCUGUUUGAAUUCUCUGCCAAAACCCCUUAGAACCUCAGAAGUCUGAAGAGGACCUCAAGUAGGGCACAGACAAAGCUAGUGAGGCAGGAGUAACGGAGCUAAUCAGAAAAUAUCAAUCUGGGCACUUCACCGUUACAUCGGGUCUGAUUUGCAGGCAGCUCAGCACCUGUGGAUUCCAGCAGGUCCUGAGUGCUCAGCUGUUGCAAAAAUCAGGUCUGCAGAGUAUGGGGGGCUCGGGGGUUGGUCUCCAUCCUGCUGGUCUGACUGGCUUCUGGUGGGGCAAUGAUGACAUCCAGUGGGGAAAGUCGUGAAUUACAGCAGUAUUUUAUACGCGGAAUGAGCAGCUGCUGCUGAGUCUCAAACUACAAUCAAAGGGUAAGAUCCUGGAGGAGAAAGUCACUUUCUCAAGGAUGGUUCUGUGCUGUAGCGAAUGGCUCAUGGCUAAGAGUCCUGUGCUGCCCUCCUCCUGACUUCGGCAGUACCUAAAGUUGUUUUUAAGUGUCUCCUCUUGCUAAAGAGAAAAAGAUUUGCUCCUUGGGGAAGAGUUGAGAACAGCAUCUCACUGUGAUUAAUACUCACACGGUAUUCUCACUUCCAUUAAAGGUUUUUUUAAUUGUUUUGGGUUUUUUUUUAAAUCUGUGACUCCCUCAUCCUUUGGGACAUCUUCAGGCUUCUUAACAUCCUUAACUUUCUAUGAAAUCCUAGUCAUUUUAGUCGUUUCCCUCAGCUCUGCAGUUGCGUCACUUGUGCCAGUGUUUGGUACAGGCCUGGGGCAGGAUAAAUUAUCUGAAGCUUACACUGGAUUAGAUGUUUAUGGCAUGAAUAAUGGGAGGCACAGACAAAAGAAUACAGAAAGGAACAUAUAAUCUCAUAGAACUGAGGAGACGUGCCUGUCUUUUAGAAUUUCAUUUUGCAGCCAGAAGGUCUGGGAUCACAGCCACUGCUAGGUGAUCGCAUACCAGCUGCUUCCGAAAAAUGUUCUUUUUUUCCUGCAGUACCUAAUCAGGAGACCGAGGGGAUUUUCUUUCAGAUGCGUACUUUGGUACUUUAAUCCCGGCCUCAUCAUCGGCCCAGUACUAGAUUGCCUCAAUAUGCUUUACAAGCAAUUACACCUAACAUCAAUCAAGAAAUUAAAUUCCUCGCAGAGCAUUGCAGGGUGCUGCAGCUGACAGCAGAGGCUCCACGCCGUUCCCUGGGCUGGACCCCAGCCCCUGCCAUGACAGGCUGAAGUUGCUCGGCAGCAGCUCCCUGGG